rnacentral:rRNA from 1 species
UAGGGAAUCUUCGGCAAUGGACGAAAGUCUGACCGAGCAACGCCGCGUGAGUGAAGAAGGUUUUCGGAUCGUAAAACUCUGUUGUUAGAGAAGAACAAGGACGUUAGUAACUGAACGUCCCCUGACGGUAUCUAACCAGAAAGCCACGGCUAACUACGUGCCAGCAGCCGCGGUAAUACGUAGGUGGCAAGCGUUGUUCGGAUUUAUUGGGCGUAAAGCGAGCGCAGGCGGUUUCUUAAGUCUGAUGUGAAAGCCCCCGGCUCAACCGAGGAGAGUCAUUGGAAACUGGGAGAAUUGAGUGCAGAAGAGGAGAGUGGAAUUCAAUGUGUAGGGGUGAAAUGCGUAGAUAUAUGGAGGAACACCAGUGGCGAAGGCGGCUCUCUAGUCUGUAACUGACGCUGAGGCUCGAAAGCGUGGGGAGCAAACAGG